rnacentral:rRNA from 1 species
AUUGAACGCUGGCGGCAUGCCUUACACAUGCAAGUCGAACGGCAGCACGGGAGCAAUCCUGGUGGCGAGUGGCGAACGGGUGAGUAAAGUAUCGGAACGUGCCCAGUCGUGGGGGAUAACGUAGCGAAAGUUACGCUAAUACCGCAUACGAUCUAUGGAUGAAAGCGGGGGAUCGCAAGACCUCGCGCGAUUGGAGCGGCCGAUAGCAGAUUAGGUAGUUGGUGGGGUAAAGGCUCACCAAGCCGACGAUCUGUAGCUGGUCUGAGAGGACGACCAGCCACACUGGGGCUGAGACACGGCCCAGACUCCUACGGGAGGCAGCAGUGGGGAAUUUUGGACAAUGGGCGCAAGCCUGAUCCAGCCAUGCCGCGUGCAGGAUGAAGGCCUUCGGGUUGUAAACUGCUUUUGUACGGAACGAAAAGGUUUGACUUAAUACGUUGGACUCAUGACGGUACCGUAAGAAUAAGCACCGGCUAACUACGUGCCAGCAGCCGCCGCAG